rnacentral:lncRNA from 1 species
GAUGCCUCCACUCAGCUAAGAGUCUUCAGGACAUUCAAUAAUGAGGCAGGACAACUGAUCCACUCUCUGGGAGGACGUGAACCCUGAGGUGUGUAAUGCGUACAGUUUUGGUUUGUCAAGAGGAUUUUGAAAAAUGCUGAAGAUCUGGUCCAUAUUGCCCCUUCGUUGCUACUCCCUGGGUCCCAGCCCGCAGAGGAAGGCAGGGCGGUCAGAGCCAUUUGCAGAGGACCUGCUUAUACUAAGGUAAGGUGUGCCUUUCGAGGCCAGGUUAUGCCCCAGAAAUGGUCCUCAAAUCCCAGUAAUUUAAACCAACCGGUUUAAGUUAA